CGCACUCGGUGACCCGUGUGUGACCCACACCAUCAUGGAUCAGCCCUGGAGGAGCACGAAUUGUUCCAGCACUGAGUGCAGCAAUGGGACAUGGAUGGAUGAUAGAAAUCUUGCAGUGGGAUGGUACAGAUUUAACAGUUCCGGUGGAUGGAAGAUUCCGGAGAAUGAAGUUCCAGGGGAUCACUGCUCCGGGAAGCACCCAGGCUGGUUAGCCGGUCGCCAUCCCAGUGUGGGAGACGGGGAGGUGAC